CCAUAAUAGCUAUCAUACCUUUAUGUGGUUUUUCAAUUAAGUCACAGAUUAUCUGAAUAAAAAGAUAUGAUUACGAUAUGGUUUGACGGAUUUUCAUAAUAAAUGUAAAGGGAACCUAACAUCAUGUAGAAUUCUAUAACUUAGUCAUAACUUCUUCUUACUAUUCAGAUUUUACAGAUUAAAAAUUAGGGACACCGAUUCACAACUACACCUAUUUCUCAUGUAAUACAAUUUUGAAUUCCUGCGGAUUCGUUAACUCUACAAUAUAUAAAUCAAGAACCAAUGGAAAACUGUGCACCAUUAUUAUAUUGGAUGUGUGGCAUGAAGGUCUGAGUUUAUAUGGAUACUUUUUUACCGAUAGGUAAUAUAAGUAAAUCUCUCAGAUAUUUUAUAGAAAUUCGAAGCGAAUAUUUUUCUUCUAAUAAUGUGUCCCUGUGCCAAAAACUGGUAAAAUCGGGUAAUUACUUCCCCCAAUUCCCUUAUACCUAAUAUAAAGAUGUUCAAACUUCCGGUGGGCUUGGUGGAGAAAAUAAGUGAAAUGAUUAUUCUAUAUAUAAUGAUUGUCGGUAAUCUUUAUGCCGAAUAUAUGGGUCAAAUUAUGUGUUAUCUUAAUGAAAUUAAAUAAAGAAAUAGCGAGAGUAUAAAAUUUUCUGUUACACCCCAUCAUAGCCCUUUAUUGCUGUUUUAAUUUACAAUUUGCAGUACAAAAAAUAUAUUAGUUUAUAGAAUAUCCAUAAAGAUUUUUUUGACAUCGAUAUCGUUGUGAAAAUAAUAUAUAUAUGUAUAUGUAAUGCAUGUAAUAUUUUAUUCUUUUCGGAUUGGUUCAUUGAGUGAAUAUCAACCAAGGAUGGUUGGUAUAAUCGAGACAAUCGCUCGGACUUCCAAAAAUGUUGGAGCAUAUUUUUGGUAAUAAAAAGCUUCUCUUACCAACAGACAGCCUUUAUAAAGGUGCUAAAUAUUGCAUAUAUUAGUAUAUACAAGCAUAUGCUUACAUAUAUGUAUAAAUCAGAGAAUACAAACAAUUUAUGAGAAAUAUUUAAUAUAUUUUUUACCUUGUUAUUAAAGUAUUCAAUGUUGGUCCAUUCUACACCUUCUCUUUGGUAUUCUUCCUGCUCCUGUUUAAGAACCAGUUCUGUUGAAUACAUACAUUUAAGUAAAAUCAAAGGAUAUAUUACGUAAGCUGACUUCGAUAGCACAUUUCGCUGCUCAUUUAAUUAAAAAAAAAUCAAUGUUUUUUUGCUUAAUUUAAAAGUUUAUAUUCUUCAGAUGUCUUCGAAAACAAUGUCUCAAUAAUAACUCAAAAACUAUUCAACCGAAUGGCUUGAAAAUUAAAUUCAUCUUCCUAGAUUUUCCACAGAGUGACACAAAAUUGAAAUGCCAAUCAUGUCGACCAUCAAGGAGUGCUCCGGAAAAAUUGAUCAAGGCCAAUGCUUAUAUCUCUGGUAUUUUUAAUUAAAAUUAUUAUUUUUUAUUAUUAUUAAGCUUAUGAUAUGUAUUAAAUUAGCUAUAAAUUUAAAGAAGACCUACCUCAAACCAUCCAAUUUUCAUUCGUUCAGGUUGGCGUAACCCCUUAAUACAAAUAAUUUUGUAAUUUUGAAGUAAAUUAUAAUUAAUUAAAGAAAAUAAGGCAUGGACGCCGCUCGAAACUAAGAGGUAAAAAAUUGUACUCCGCACUCCGCUUUAAGUGCAUCUACAUUUUUUUUAAUUGGCUUUUCUCCACCGCUUUGCGAAUCGAAGACAGCAAUAGUUAAAAAAGUCUAAUUUUUUAUACUUACCAAUAAAUAACUGUUGCAAUUUUUCAUUGCAAUAAUUUAUGCAAAACUGCUCAAAACUAUUGUUGUCAAAAAUUUCGAAUCCGUAAAUGUCUAAAACGCCAAUCACUGAAUUGAAACGCGCUUGAGUUUUCGAACCACGAAAUAGGAUUGCUCGAUUUAUACGAGAAAUAAUCCAAGUGAAUAAACGAUCGUAUAUUGCUUUAGCCAAAGCAUCCUUUCCAUAUUCAGCUUGUGUGACAUCGUGUUCUUUUUGCAUAACAUUACCACCAGCGGCAAUAAUUCGCAUUGUUAACGAAUUAGAUAGUUCAUUUUCUGUUACUUGCAAUAAUUUCGAUGCAGAUUCCAAAUGCUGUUUAUUACUUA